AAAGCGGAGGAAAAGAAACCAACUGGGAUUACCUUAGUAACGGCGAGUGAAGCGGUAAAAGCUCAAAUUUGAAAUCUGGUACUUUCAGUGCCCGAGUUGUAAUUUGUAGAAUUUGUCUUUGAUUAGGUCCUUGUCUAUGUUCCUUGGAACAGGACGUCAUAGAGGGUGAGAAUCCCGUUUGGCGAGGAUACCUUUUCUCUGUAAGACUUUUUCGAAGAGUCGAGUUGUUUGGGAAUGCAGCUCAAAGUGGGUGGUAAAUUCCAUCUAAAGCUAAAUAUUGGCGAGAGACCGAUAGCGAACAAGUACAGUGAUGGAAAGAUGAAAAGAACUUUGAAAAGAGAGUGAAAAAGUACGUGAAAUUGUUGAAAGGGAAGGGCAUUUGAUCAGACAUGGUGUUUUUUGCAUGCACUCGCCUCUCGUGGGCUUGGGCCUCUCAAAAAUUUCACUGGGCCAACAUCAAUUCUGGCAGCAGGAUAAAUCAUUAAGAAUGUAGCUACUUCGGUAGUGUUAUAGCUUUUUGGAAUACUGUUAGCCGGGAUUGAGGACUGCGCUUCGGCAAGGAUGUUGGCAUAAUGGUUAAAUGCCGCCCGUCUUGAAACCACGGACAUC
rnacentral:rRNA from 1 species